rnacentral:lncRNA from 1 species
AGAGAAACAAAAUGAUUGUAAGAGCAAGUCUUUCGUGUAUAGCACCCUCUUCACCCACAGAUACAGGCAACCACUCCGAAAUCAUUCGACGACCCUCCAAAAGGAUUCGCGCCCCACGGUUUGAGUGUUCUAAAGGCUAAUACAGUGUGUUACAGAUUCUUUACCACCUGCCUGAUACAGGAGUGCUUCCUGCAUUCCUGAGCCGUUAGAAUCUGUCAAAGGUCCUCCCUUGAGAACUCCAUGUGCACUAAAACCAAACCGAAUUCCCCGCCUCUCAGGGAAAAGUGACCUCAUCCUUGGGUCUCCUCAAGUGGCUGUGUGAACUACAAAAGCCUCGUCUGUUUAUCCUGACCAGUAAUCCACAGACUCUGGCAAGAGGAUCACAAAGGCCAAAUCCAGCCUGGACUACAAUCACCUUGUGCAAUUUAGUAACAAACCACCACAAAUCAAAGGUUACAAAGUAGGAUUGCAGACAGCUCAGUGGAAGACUGCUCACAGCCUAAUGGAGGACGAUGUAGUAAAACCUAGGAACCGGACCACUCCAUGGGAGAAAGCACAGUUUAUUGGUCAGUUUUAAAAUUACAUGGCAAUCUCUCGGGCGCAGAGAGAACAGGCAAGUUGGAGAAAGCCUUGCUAGUUUUAAGGGGAACAGACAGCUGCAGCAGAGAAGUGUGCAAGCCAAAACAGCCUGGGGACUGGUGUGGAACUUGGAUGUUACAGGUGUGUGUUAAUGGGGCCCUAAGAGCCUGGGAAGUAGUGUGGGGACUAUGGUGAGUGUCGUGGGUCUAUAAUACAGAACUAAAUGCCCGGUUGUUGGAGGUAGUUGGCUAUAAAUGCAGAUAAUGGAUUUACUGGCUUUCUGACAAAAACCGAUAACAUAGAUUCUAUCCCAAGUACUGAGAGAAAUAGUAGAAAGAGGGCAGAAUUUGCUAUCUCAGGGUAAUACAGUGCUUAGCAGGGGACUGGGGAGAAUCAAGAGGGAUGUGAGAACACUGGGGACAGAGACAGCCACAUCUACUGACGUGAAACUUCAACCUUGGGAUGUGAAACCAGGGUAGCAUGGCUCCUGAAACAUGCCCCAAAUCAUUUUUGUCACUAUACCACUAUGAAGAAAGUUAACUGUGUAUUUUUUUUAAAACCAGAAGAGAGAUCAUGUGAUAGGCAGAAGACUGACACAAUGUCCCCAUGAUCUGCUGCCUGCUGCAGCUGUCUAACCACUGCCUGCAAACAGUCAUCUUAACACAGAAGAAAACUCUUCUUAUUCCUUUUGUGGUGCUGUAUGCCUUCAGUCCAGUCUUGGAGAGGAAGAGGCACGUGAGUGGACCACCGUGAGUUCUAGGACAGCUUAAUUUACCUAGAUAGAAUUCUAGGCCAGGCUCAGCUACUUAGUGAGCUCCCAUCU